GACGAACGCUGGCGGCGUGCUUAACACAUGCAAGUCGAACGGAAAGGCCCUGCUUUUGUGGGGUGCUCGAGUGGCGAACGGGUGAGUAACACGUGAGUAACCUGCCCUUGACUUUGGGAUAACUUCAGGAAACUGGGGCUAAUACCGGAUAGGAGCUCCUGCUGCAUGGUGGGGGUUGGAAAGUUUCGGCGGUUGGGGAUGGACUCGCGGCUUAUCAGCUUGUUGGUGGGGUAGUGGCUUACCAAGGCUUUGACGGGUAGCCGGCCUGAGAGGGUGACCGGCCAAAUGGGGACUGGGAUACGGCCCAGCCCCCUACGGGGGGCAGGGGUGGGGAAUAUUGCAAAAGGGGCGGAACCGUGAGGCAGCAACCCCGGGGGGGGGAGGACGGCCUUGGGGUUGUAACCCGCUUUCGCCUGGGACGAAGCGUGGGUGACGGUAAUGGGAAAAAAAGCACCGGCUAACUACGU
rnacentral:rRNA from 1 species